rnacentral:rRNA from 1 species
UACGUAGGGUGCGAGCGUUAAUCGGAAUUACUGGGCGUAAAGGGUGCGCAGGCGGUUAUAUAAGACAGUUGUGAAAUCCCCGGGCUCAACCUGGGAACUGCAUCUGUGACUGCAUUGCUGGAGUGCGGCAGAGGGGGAUGGAAUUCCGCGUGUAGCAGUGAAAUGCGUAGAUAUGCGGAGGAACACCGAUGGCGAAGGCAAUCCCCUGGGCCUGCACUGACGCUCAUGCACGAAAGCGUGGGGAGCAAACAGG